rnacentral:rRNA from 1 species
GUAUCAAUAAGCGGAGGAAAAGAAACUAACAGGGAUUGCCUCAGUAACGGCGAGUGAAGCGGCAAGAGCUCAAAUUUGAAAUCUGGCGCCUUUGGUGUCCGAGUUGUAAUUUGAAGAGGAUGCCUCGGUUGCGGUCCCGGCCUAAGUUCCUUGGAACAGGACGUCGCAGAGGGUGAGAAUCCCGUACGCGGCUGGGGGCCUGCAUCCAUGUGUGGCUCCUUCGAAGAGUCGAGUUGUUUGGGAAUGCAGCUCAAAAUGGGUGGUAAAUUCCAUCUAAAGCUAAAUACUGGCGAGAGACCGAUAGCGCACAAGUA